rnacentral:tRNA from 1 species
GGAUUGUGGCUCAGGGGUAGAGUGCUCCCCUAGCAAGGGUAGGACCCGGGUUUGAUCCUCAGCACCA